UUCCAAAAUAUCGAUACCUGUUCGCCGAAAAAAGGGUGUUUGACUGAUAUGAGAGGCAGAAAAGAUUGGUGGGUAGGAACGAGAGAAAAGCGAGAAAGGAUAAAUCACAUCGAUGUGAAUAAAUUCAGAUUGCCCGUGUAUUCUAUUUCACACUGAAUGGAAAAACGUAGAUAUAGAUUUUUCGAUUCCGGAUUUAAAUAAUUUGGGACUCGAUUCGAUACAAAGUCUCCAUGUUAUAAAAGCAAGGUAAAGAGAGAAGACGAAACAUUACAAAGAGAGAGAAUGAGUGAGUGAGAGAGAGAGAGAGAAACGGAUGCGAAGGCGGACAUGGAAGGCUCGAGAUUGGUCGAGCCUCGGGUCCAGCCAUGCCGUUUGCGGACAAUCACUGGACCCUAUCACAACUCAGGUGUAACCGCAUAGCCAUAAAC